UGCCAGCCGCCGCGGUAAUACGAAGGGUGCAAGCGUUAAUCGGAAUUACUGGGCGUAAAGCGCGCGUAGGCGGUUAUUUAAGUCAGAUGUGAAAGCCCAGGGCUCAACCUUGGAACUGCAUUUGAAACUGGGUAACUUGAGUAUGGUAGAGGUAAGCGGAAUUUCCAGUGUGGCAGUGAAAUGCGUAGAGAUUGGAAGGAAUAUCGAUGGCGAAGGCAGCUUACUGGGCCAAUACUGACGCUGAGGAACGAAAGCAUGGGUAGCGAAGAGGAUUAGAUA
rnacentral:rRNA from 1 species